ACUCGUCUGGGCGAGGGUAAAUAGUAAUUAGGCCCAGAGCGUCCCGGCAGUUGCCGGGGGUUUAG
rnacentral:ribozyme from 1 species